CGGAUCAUUAAUGAUGACUGGCGGCGUGUGAGUCACGGAUGAUGAGUAGUAUGUGCGUGGAACUCGGGUUCAA